rnacentral:tRNA from 1 species
GCCGGCGUAGGCAAACUUGGUCACGCCGCCAGAUUAAGACCCUGGUUCCAGCAAUGGUAUCUGGGUUCAAAUCCCAGCGCCGGCG